AGUAGCCUUUCGAAAGGAAGAUUAAUACCGCAUAAGAUUGUAGUAUCGCAUGAUAUAGCAAUUAAAGGAGCAAUUCGCUAUAAGAUGGACCCGCGUCGCAUUAGCUAGUUGGUGAGGUAAUGGCUCACCAAGGCGACGAUGCGUAGCCGACCUGAGAGGGUGAUCGGCCACAUUGGGACUGAGACACGGCCCAGACUCCUACGGGAGGCAGCAUG
rnacentral:rRNA from 1 species